UUGUGAGAGCGGGACGGACACAUCCGUUCCCAUCCCGAACACGGUAGUUAAGCUUCUCUGCGCCAAUGGUAGUUGGGGGCUUCCCCCUGCGAGAGUAGGUCGCUGCCGGGC
rnacentral:rRNA from 1 species